rnacentral:rRNA from 1 species
GACAGAGGAUGCAAGCGUUAUCCGGAAUGAUUGGGCGUAAAGCGUCUGUAGGUGGCUUUUUAAGUCCGCCGUCAAAUCCCAGGGCUCAACCCUGGACAGGCGGUGGAAACUACCAAGCUGGAGUACGGUAGGGGCAGAGGGAAUUUCCGGUGGAGCGGUGAAAUGCGUAGAGAUUGGAAAGAACACCAAUGCGAAGACACUUACUGGCUAGU